rnacentral:lncRNA from 7 species
GCCAUCCUUAAGGAACAGGAAAGAUGAACUUACCCAAAUCAGAAGAGCAAAGUGCAGUGAUGUGGAGCUUGAAAGGUUAUUGAUAGCUGAAAAUACGGCCUCUAUCUAGGUAUUUUUGGACCCCAGAUUUUAAAACGGAUAAGAAGAUAGACAUUGCUGGCCUAUACAAAUUGACACAAGAAAAGAAGCUCAUCGUGAAACCUGGAGCAGCCAAGAAACCAUUAUUUAUACAGCAGUUAUUUUGGGAAAAAUGCAUUCCCAGAAUUCUGACACAGGAUUACAACACUUUUAUGUGUUAAGGAUAAAAGAUAAUCACCUAACAGAGGAUUUAUCUUUUGAAAUGGACUGAAUUAAAAGACCAAGGAGGACAUCUUUCUACCAGCAAAUCCAGUGCCAAUCCAAAAUAAAUCUCCUGAAUCCACUGGAAUCAUUUGGGAUUUACACCGUGGUGUACAGGGAACGGCGCUUCAUUGAUGGCUGGGCAGAAGCAGCCCUCAUACUGUGCUGCAAGGAGCACAGACAAAAGAGGGGAGCCAGCAGGGUCUGCUCUAUGCCCGUAGCAGAGUCAGGAUGAGAAAAGGAAGCAGAUCUCCGCACUGUAUAUCCUGCUUAAGGAAAGUACAGCAACAGAAAAAUCCCCUACUAAACUGCAUGAAAAUAAAACUAUGAAUAGACUUGAAAUAUUUGGAUGCAAGUUUGGUUUCAUAUUUUACUUUCUGCAGUCUGGCUGUAAAAUGACAUCAGCAGUCAGCUCACAGCUUUAUAGCUGUGCAUUUGUCACUAUGCCUAGAGGUGUGAGGGGUGGUUGUCUGCCCACCUUCCCAGGGCACCUUCUCAGUGAUUCAGACCAUAAGGUUCAGUUCUUGUGACUGAGGAAAAAUAGGGCAUCACAUCCAAAAAACUUCUGCUCUGAGAAAGAGUCUGGCAGAUCAUAGUAACAGAAAGAAAAAAUUGCAGUGAUCUAAUAUUCCUAUUAUGUUACGAUUAUCUGCAGAGCUCUGGCUCUGCAGUCUUUCUCUCUUUCUCUUGUUCUAAUCCACGUAGGCAUUUCUAUUAUGCCUGUCACCAUAGCAUCUGAAUGCCUUCCAAGCAAGUGGAAAUACUACCUCCUUUUUUUUUGCCAUCAGCAAAAUAUGAACAUUAUCUGAGCUAGAAUGGGGUCUCCUGCAACUGUCAGCAUGCCAAGAAGGAGUACAUGGCAACUUAUUUCAGAUACAGCACCUCAUUCUCCAGUCUUUUUUCUGUUCCAUUUAUGUACUGCAUUGGGUCUUUCUGUGACAAGAACAAGUUGAUCACUGUGGUAUUAAUAGGAUGUUUAUAUAAUGAAUAGUUCUUUAACUAUAGCAACAAGUUUAAGUAUGCAGUAGCAACUCAAGAAGUGCUUGUGAUAAACUGGAUAACUCCUCCCAGAAGAACAACAGUCACCUGCUUUAUUUAUAUUGCAAAGGGUAGUUAAAUGUAAGAUACUGCUUGCAUUACUGUGUCUGUCUUCUAUAUGGUUUUGUCAUACAGUCUCUGUGGAAAGACAGACCUACUCUAAGUCAGAAAAUAAUCACAAGUCACUGUGUGAUAGAUGCUUUAGUCAUGCUUUGUAUAAUUUAAAUCUCAUGAAAAGAUGCUCAAAUUGUAAGUUGUUCUGUCUUGACAGGACUUUAAUUAGUUUCAAAUCAGUCAGCUCCUGUUCAGCUAUUGACCAGGGAAGUAGACUUGAGUCCUCUCACCUCCAUUCAGUGUUUCAAAAUGAAUGAACCUUCUGACAAUGCUUUGUUUGCAUUUUCACUGCAUAGAGAGAGAGGCAGGGAGGUAACGUGUAAAGGUCUUUAGAAUUUUAAAAAUAUUUAUUUUAUCUUCAUUCUUCAUAUUAGUAAUUCGAACUGUUGUACAAUAUACUUCAAGAAUGAGACAGGAAGAAUAUUGUUCACUUCUUUCUUUCUCUCUCUCUCUUUUUUUUUAAUUUUCAGAAGAGUCCUCUGAAACCUUAUUUGCAUUGAAAAUACUUAUUGAAAAGCUGAGCCUCAUGUCUGGGUUCCUGUUCUACUCAGAGGAUGUAAUUUUGCUUUGUAAAUUGGUCUCUCAUCUUGAAUGAGCAAAUAAGCAUCCUGGUGGAUGCCAAUUAGAUGAACUUUUGUAUCCCAAGUAGAACUGCUGAGAGCAAUUUUGAUGGACUGAUUUUGCAUUUGAAUAUGCUUUCAACUGGAUCUAAAACACAUUUUAAAAUCAGAUUGACCUCUCUAGAGUUUUUCUGAAGAAAAAAUUCCAGUUGUGUUCAGACAUUUUAUUUGGACAGUUUCAGAGGAAGACAUUUUGAUUUUUGUUUAGUUCCUAAGGCUUUUUUUGUUCACAGCCCAAACGCCACAACUUAAAAAGUCAGUGUGAAAAUAUUUCAAUUUUGCUAAAAGUAAACAUUGAGAAUGACUGCAUGUAUGUUGUUUGCCUGCUUUUGAGUUUUAUCUUCAAGGAAAAGUCUGGAACACUGAUUCUUAUCAGAAUAAAGUCAACCAUUGAAAUCC